rnacentral:ncRNA from 1 species
UCCAAGGGGGGUGCCCAUCUCCAUCUUUUUUGGAGUAGGCUGAGAUUAUACCCAUUGAACCUGAUGCAGAUAAUGCUGCCGAAGGGAAUUGGAA